CGGAAGUGGUGGGCGUUUCAGCCGAUCAAGGCGGUCGCGCCGCCUGCGGUGAAGCAGAAGGAUUGGGUGAAAAACCCGAUCGAUGCGUUCAUCCUGGCGAAAUUGGAAGCCGCUGCCAUCAAGCUCAACAAUCCGGCCGACAAGCGCACGCUUAUUCGCCGCGCGACAUUCGACCUGACUGGCCUGCCUCCGACAGUGGAAGAGGUAGAUGCAUUUUUGAAGGACGAGUCGCCGGAGGCAUUUGCCAAGGUGGUGGAUCGGCUGCUGGCGUCGCCGCAUUAUGGUGAGCAUUGGGGCCGGCACUGGCUGGAUGUGGUGCGGUAUACCGACUCGUUCGACUCGCGCGGCAUGGCCGGCUCGAUGGAUGUGGCCGAGGCGUGGAAAUACCGCGAUUGGGUGGUCAAGGCGUUCAACGCCGAUCUGCCGUAUGACCGGUUUGUCGC
rnacentral:misc_RNA from 1 species